GAGCAAGCGUUGUUCGGAUUUACUGGGCGUAAAGGGCGCGUAGGCGGCCACUGCAAGUCGGUUGUGAAAUCUCCGGGCUUAACCCGGAAAGGUCAAUCGAUACUGCAGGGCUAGAGUGCAGAAGGGGCAACUGGAAUUCUCGGUGUAGCGGUGAAAUGCGUAGAUAUCGAGAGGAACACCUGCGGCGAAGGCGGGUUGCUGGGCUGACACUGACGCUGAGGCGCGAAAGCCAGGGGAGCGAACGGG
rnacentral:rRNA from 1 species